rnacentral:rRNA from 1 species
AUUGAACGCUGGCGGAAUGCUUUACACAUGCAAGUCGAACGGCAGCACGGACUUCGGUCUGGUGGCGAGUGGCGAACGGGUGAGUAAUGUAUCGGAACGUGCCCAGUCGUGGGGGAUAACGUAGUGAAAAUUACGCUAAUACCGCAUCCGAUCUAUGGAUGAAAGCGGGGGAUCGCAAGACCUCGCGCGAUUGGAGCGGCCGAUAUCCGAUUAGGUAGUUGGUGGGGUAACGGCCCACCAAGCCAACGAUCUGUAGCUGGUCUGAGAGGACGACCAGCCACACUGGAACUGAGACACGGUCCAGACUCCUACGGGAGGCAGCAGUGGGGAAUUUUGGACAAUGGGCGAAAGCCUGAUCCAGCCAUUCCGCGUGCAGGAUGAAGGCCCUCGGGUUGUAAACUGCUUUUGUACAGAACGAAAAGGUUUCUACUAAUACUAGGAGCUCAUGACGGUACUGUAAGAAUAAGCACCGGCUAACUACGUGCCAGCAGCCGCCGUAA